AGCAGCCGUGGUAAUUCCAGCUCCAAUAGCGUAUAUUAAAGUUGUUGCAGUUAAAAAGCUCGUAGUUGAAUUUCGGGACUAAUAUGUCGGUCGUACUUUGUACGUACUAGCAUUAUUGGUUUCUCCCUUCUGACGAACCACGAUGUCAUUAAUUUGGUGUCAUGGGAAAUCAGGACUGUUACUUUGAAAAAUUAGAGUGUUUAAAGCAAGCUCGCGCUUGAAUACAUUAGCAUGGAAUAAUGAAAUAGGACGUUUGAUUCUAUUUUGUUGGUUUCUAGGAUCGACGUAAUGAUUAAUAGGGAUAGUUGGGGCAUUAGUAUUCAAUUGUCAGAGGUGAAAUUCUUGGAUUUAUUGAAGACUAACUACUGCGAAAGC
rnacentral:rRNA from 1 species